CUUUCACAACCAAGAUUUAAAUCUGUGAUUAAUCCAGGUGUUGGGGAUAUAUGGCCAGAGUAGUUUGAGGAAGGGGGGACUAAACACCCCAGCCUCAAAUGGCAAACUGGUGUCUUCUAUAAGUCCCUGUCAGUUCCACUCUCCACAUGUCCUCCACACAUCCAAUCAGAGCCUUAAGUUCAAAAGUGAAUUAAAACUCAAAGAAGCCUGGGGACAGGGACAAGGGGAGAGCAGCAAGAGAAAGAAAGAAAGAAGCAAACGAAAUUCCUGAAUGGAUAGGAGAUGCUACGUCAGCGGUACCCGAGUCGCAUCCUCCACUCCACAAGAGAAGAGCUAGGAGAGACCCGCGGCGGUGCAGCCACGCGCCAGCGCCAGCGCCAGCGCCAGCGUCGUUGGUUGCCUCCUCCUUACAGAGGCAAGGGCCAGUCAUAGAAGCAGCCUCGUUGUUCAUCGGUUCAUUGAUGUCAUCAUAGGUGGCCCACAUCUCUGGCUUUGGGCUUCUCCCCUGGGCGGGUGGGUGCUCCACCCUCCCGCCCUCUCCGCUCUGUGGACAAGGACGUGAGGACCAGAGACAUCCAGCACCACGGACAGCUCCCAGCGAUGACCCAGAAAGCCAGGUGUGGUGCUUCACACCUGUAAUCUCAGCACCUGGACAUCUGGGGCAGAAGAAUGGCCAAAGAGAAGACCUGACCUGGCCCCAAGCUCCCCAAGGGCAAAGUGUGUUCCCAGAUUGAGAAGGGGCUGCCUCCAGCAAACAGAUGUGAACAGAGGCAGAGGGCACCACCCGGCAGCUUCUCCCCAAGCUAUGGAAUGCGGGCUUUGCUCACCUGGUCACUUCCAGCAAGUUGUCCCACCCGGCCCAUCUAUUUCUCCUGUUGCCUCUCGGCUGCAUCCCUAAAUCCUACCCCAUGUCCAAUAAAGAGUGUUGCAGACUGAACAGCAG
rnacentral:lncRNA from 1 species